rnacentral:lncRNA from 1 species
AUACAUGUCUUCUUCUUCCUCUCCCCCACUCGUUCUGGUUUAUCUCCAGAGAACGAAACGAGAUAUUCAGGAUAGUUGAAAUCUUACGUACCAGAAGUGAAAGAAGAUGAUUUACAGAAAGUGGAGUCUUCUCACUGGUCCGACGGCCAUAAUCGGAGGCAUCGUCGGCGCCACCAUCGUCGCCAACUACCUUUUCAUCCAGAACGUAAUACUCCCUCCCCUUUCGCUCUUUCCAUUUCUACCAAUCCCUAGCUUUUCCCGCUAAAUCCUCAAUCGCUUGCGUGAAAAAUAAAAACAUCGACUGAGAAUUUUUCCUAUUACCGCUCCAAUUUUCGAUCAGUUUCUGUGAUUGAUAAUUUCAUUUUUUGUACGGUCUAUUGGGAGUUGGGGUUUGUGAAUUGUGAUUGGUUCGUUCUAAUACGUUGCGAUUGCUCUUAAAAUUUGUAGGAUUGGCUUAUCAAAAGAGACCAGAAGAAACAGCCAUCUUCAUCAUCAUCUUCAAAAUAAAGAUGGAACAAUGAAGGUCUUGUUCAGUUGUUUAAAUAAUCUUCCUUGUGCGUUCUUCUUUUGUUCACUGUGAAUAACAUGAAUAUGGUGACAGAUGAUAAUAAUCUGAGAUGUAUUUGCUCUUUCUAUGAUAAAUUCAAUUGCUGAGGCUGAUUUCGACUGACAAAUUAACAUCAAUGUCAUCUGUAGCCAUUUACAAUCAUCUGCAUCACCAAAUCAUUCCAUGAAUCUAUAGGCCCUGGCAAGCACCAAUGCAAGCAAUCAUUUUGAACUUUCUCAUCUUUGUUUGCAAAAGGCUGAGAAUGCAUAUACGGUCCAGGGUGUCCAUCUGGUCUCAACACUGAUAGCCUUGUUGUAUCUAGCAGCUUCAGAACCGCUCGAUUCCCCAAUUCUCCAGCUGUGGCCUUCUCGAAUUCCUCCAGCUCAAUGUCUCUCAUCUGUCUAUCCAAUUCUCCGAUAUCGACCUCGCCGUGUUUGAACGGUACUGUUCGAUUGCAG